ensembl:snRNA U6 U6 spliceosomal RNA
GUGCCCACUUCUGCAGCACACAUACUAAAAUUGGAAUGAUACAGAGAAGAUUAGCCUGGUCUCUGAGCAAGGAUGACAUGCAAAUGAAGCGUUCCAUUUUUUU